CCAUCUUCGCAGCGGCGGUUGCAGGGAUUCAGGGGAGGGAGCCGGCGGGAACCGAGUGUGCGGAACAACCUCCUCACACCAGCAGGACGAGAAAGCGAGCGCAGAGCCGACGCGGCACCGUGAGCCUACUAAGGGGCGGUCGCGCGCCUCGGGUCAAAAUGCGCCUGCGCACGUCACGCACUGCCCGCGUUGCUACACGACGGGCCGGCCCGGCAAUGCCCCGCCCCGGGGGCAGCCUGGAGUCCGGACUGCGGGGGCGUCGCUCACCUGCCCGGGGCUGAGGGGCGGGACCCCUUCGCCAGCUCCAGUCUUGAGGGGCGCGGGCAGGUUCUACUUCCUCAACUGCAGCCCUCCGAUGAUUGGCCAGCUAGACACGGCGGACCCUCGCGUGAGAGGAAAAAUCUGCACAUUUUUCCUUCUUCGCGAGGCGACUGAGGCCCGCUCUGGGCACCCUGCAAUAAGGAAGUUGGGGCGGUUUUAAGCCUUUACCACUGGCUGCAGGUGUUUGGCAAGGACGUGGGAAUUACCUGAAGAACUUGUUCCAAAUUAGGCUUACACUUAAUCUUUGGGGGAAAAUAACUCUCAACCUGCUGGAGGCCAGAUGUGCUGAGUUUUUGUCUCCUGAGAAAGGAAGGAGGUGAAGAGUAAGGAAAGGUUUACCGACAGCUCCUGAGAGACAGGAGGGGUCCCAGAAGUGCGUGGCCCCACAGGCGCUUUCUCCAAGAAUGUUCUAUGGAGCAAAAUCACAAGGGAGAUUCUCAGGCCUGGCCAUAUUGUCUCCAUCUUGAGUCCUGGCCCCCUUCAGAUGUGCCUUCAGCAGCAGUUUUGAUGUGUUUUCAUCUUCCACACUGACUCCCUUGAGGGCUUAUCCCUGUCUGACUACCUAUUAAUUUCUACCUAACUUAGCUGUCUAGUAUCUUGAUCUUGUACCUUCCAGCCUCCAAAGCAAUAGGAAUAUAUCUCUGUUUUCUCUGCUGACCCCCAGUCUGUGUGUGGCUUUGUGCUGUACAGCCUGAACAGACUAUAACACAUAAAGUCUCUCCUUGAAUACAGCAUGGGUAUGUUCCAUUUCUGAUUUAGAAGACGUUUUGCAAAUGCAGUACUUGAUCUAUGAACAUGCAAGCACUUUCAUUUGAAGCCAUUAAUAUGACUGGCAGAGAAUAAAUUCACUUUGAAGAGAUUGCAG
rnacentral:lncRNA from 1 species